UAUAUAUAAUAGGAGAGGCAAAAUCACAGUUCCUUAUCAGAAAAUUUCAAUUUUAAAAUUAAAAAAAAAAAAUGCAAGUACGCAAAACUGUACGGUUACAAAUUCCCAGCACUUGGUCCCUUCAGAAAUGGCUUUCAUUUCUUCAACUGCAAUCUCUUCAUCUUCUUAGCAACAAUAACCCAAAGGUUGGCCUGUGUGAAGCUUGAAGAAUACCAAACUGCAAAGGCCGGCUUGGAAACUGGUGCUAGUUUAGCACCGGGAGAGUCGAGGUUCACAAAGCUAAUAAAAGAAUGUGAUGAGCGCAUUGCAGGUAAAUUGGUGCCCUCGAAUCUGGCUCUUCUAGCAUUCCCAAAUCCUGUCAAUUCUAACAUCAACUCAUGGCAUCUAUGGCGACUUGGUGCUAUAUUUUACUAUUUGCUAUGAGGAUAUGAAAAACUAUGCUGUUUAUAGUUAAAAAAUUGCUAGAAGCACAAUUUUUGCUAAAUCAUUGUGGUUAUUUUCCAGACAGUUUUAUGUGUAUAUCUUGGUAUGCUAAUGGAAAAAAUUAGUGCUUAGUAAAACUAAUGUGUAUAUCAAGUACUGGCUGCACCAAGAUUUGGAGUUGGAUUUAAAGAUUAAAUUUGAGGUGAGUUUUGGGAUUUUAUUA